AAAAUUGGGGUGGGGUGGGGGGAUAGGGCCGUCCAAUUAGUUCCAUGUGCUCGUUUGGACACCCCAUGGGCAAACCAUUACACUAUUUAGGAAUUUUUCAGCCACUUAAGUUUGUUUCUCCGAAUUCUUUGAAUUUUCGAGACAUUCAAGCGAGCUACACAGUCAGCAUCUUCAGGUGGAGCUUUAAGAAGGUCCUCUAAAUCAGUUCACACAUGAGAUGAAGCCCUUCCUCCGCCCUGUUCAGUUAACAAAGGUAUAGUGGAGCUUGAAGAAAGGCAUUAUCUCCUGAGUCGGCUCGACUAUUGCGUCUCUUGGGCAUUAAGAUGGCUACCUUCAAACUCCAGUUAAUAUGUAGGUGGAGCUCAGAGGAUUUCGAGGAGGAUUGCAAGUUUCAGAUGUUGAAUCUUCAUAAGAUCUGGAAGUCGUGUAAAGUCUUGCCUGGGAUGGAAUGCUGCUUCAAUUGAAACAGCACUCCAAGUUUUGGUCAAUAUUUGAUAGCUAGAUAGAGCUGGGUUGUCUGAAUAGAAUAGAUUUUGCAAAAUCAUUUAGAAAUUCGCUGUGCUGUUUACGGGUUGACAGUUUCAACAAUAGAUUAUGAGAGUGUUUGUAAAAAUUUCUACUUUUAGAAAAGUAAGUUUUGCAGAGAGAUUCAAAAUUUGCAGCGUAUCAAAAAUGGAUGCUGAUUGUAAAAAAGUGA